AAAUCUCCUGAUUGUUACACAUACUUUUAAAACUUGAAUCAGUCUUAUUCAAGUAUAAUUCUUCUACAGUUCAAUGCUGUGUGAUCCCCCUGAUUAAGCAAAACAACACUGAAAUGUUUGCCCUCUGUUCAGUGCCAGCAGACUACCCACGAUGACAAUGAUUUAUCCUGAACCACACUAAUCAGCUAAUCAAAGAGCUGCAGACUGGCUGACCAGUUUCAUCGACUGCGACAAUACACAGGCUGUCAAGCUUGGAUUUAGCUGUUUAUUUUUCCCUCUGUGGACUUCUGCAU